CCUACGGUGGGCAGCAGUGGGGGAUAUUGCACAAUGGGGGGAACCCUGAUUCAGCGACGCCGCGUGGGUGAAGGAGCGUUUCGGCGCGUAAAGCCCUAUCGGCAGGGAAGAAGAUGACGGUACCUGACCAAGAAGCCCCGGCUAACUACGUGCCAGCAGCCGCGGUAAUACGGAGGAUGCGAGCGUUAUCCGGAUUUAUUGGGUUUAAAGGGUGCGUAGGCGGUAUUUGAAGUUAGUGGUAAAACGUCGGGGCUUCACCUUGAUUGGCCAUUAACACUGGAGUACUAGAGUAGAGACGAGGUAGGCGGAAUAAGUUAAGUAGCGGUGAAAUGCUUAGAUAUAACUUAGAACCCCGAUAGCGAAGGCAGCUUACCAGACUGUUACUGACGCUGAAGCACGAGAGCGUGGGUAGCGAACAGGAUUAGAUACCCGAGUAGUC
rnacentral:rRNA from 1 species